GCGCCUGUAGCUCAGUUGGAUAGAGCGCCUGGCUACGAACCAGGAGGUCGGGAGUUCGAAUCUCUCCAGGCGCACCA
rnacentral:tRNA from 1 species